rnacentral:rRNA from 1 species
GCAUUCGCCCUUCGGGGCGCACCAGGCGCGAAAACUUUACAAUGCUGGCAACAGCGAUAAGGGGACCUCGAGUGCCAGGAUACAAUCUUGGCUGUCGCGAUGCCUAAAAAGCAUUGCAUAGCAAGGGCCGGGCAAGACCGGUGCCAGCCGCCGCGGUAACACCGGCGGCUCGAGUGGUAACCGCUAUUAUUGGGUCUAAAGGGUCUGUAGCCGGCCGGAUAAGUCUUUUGGGAAAUCCAGCUGCUCAACAGUUGGGCUUUCAGAAGAUACUGUUCGGCUCGAGACCGGGAGAGGUGAGAGGUACUUCAGGGGUAGGGGUGAAAUCUUGUAAUCCUUGAAGGACCACCAGUGGCGAAGGCGUCUCACCAGAACGGAUCUGACGGCAAGGGACGAAAGCUAGGGGCACGAACCGGAUUAGAUACCCGGGUAGUCCUAGCCGUAAACGAUACUCGCUAGGUGUCAGCCACGGUGCGACCGUGGUUGGUGCCGUAGGGAAGCCGUGAAGCGAGCCACCUGGGAAGUACGGCCGCAAGGCUGAAACUUAAAGGAAUUGGCGGGGGAGCAC